GUUCAUUAAUGUUUGAGAUAUCGACGCAUAUUGUUUUUAAAGGAUUUAUUAGUUUACUAGUUAAAAAGCGUUAGAUAAAUAGAUAAAGCACUUAUCAAUACAAAGUGUUUCAAAUAACUCAAAUUAAAAAUAUGAAACGUUGAGUGAACAAAAAAAACAAACAGGACAUGGAAUAAGACUUUCUGAUAUAAACUUGUUUUUCGAAAAGAGCUAAGAACUUGUCUGGCCUUGUUUCCUCUGGCAGAGGACUCGGGGAGAGACAGAAGACCACUGCCUGUGAGAAGAUCUCACAUUACCUUGGAUCCAUAAAGAAAAAGGUCUAAAACAAGCUAAGAACUUGUCUGGCCUUGUUUCCUCUGGCAGAGGACUCGGGGAGAGACAGAAGACCACUGCCUGUGAGAAGAUCUCACAUUACCUUGGAUCCAUAAAGAAAAAGGUCUAAAACAAAUAAAGGAUAUCUCAUAAAAUCCACAGUGAAACAAGCAGGAGGACCAUGUGAAGAAGGUAUUAUCGUGCAACCCUUUCCCAGAUCAGGACCCGUAUGGGACCCAUCGUCCCUCCAUGAAGCCACAAGAGCUCCAAACCGCAACAGAAAGGUCCAAUAAGAGGCCGGAGAAAAGGGGAUUGUUUUGAUUAAAAGACAAUUAUCUGUGCGCAUGGACUUCCCAGUGUUGUGCGGUGUCAGGCUCCAGCUGAGCUGCUCCGUCCCAGAAGGCCUCGGGAGACAAUGGCCACUGUGUCCACAGGGUGGGGGGGUUGUUUCAUGACUCGGUCACAGCACCAUGCAACUGUGUGAAUACUGUUAAUGCCACGUAUGGGCUUAGUAGUGGGACGGUUACCCCGAAGUUGAUGUUCAAUCACCUGAAAACGACUAAACAACAAUGGGGUGAAGGCGUAAAUCGGCCUUUAAAUUAGUCUCCAGGUGGAACUCAUCAAGUUCAAAUAAUUCGCUGGGCUUUAUCCUGGAGCCCAGCAAAUGUAGUUAUUAGUUAGUAUUAGUCGAGACCGGGACGUGAACAGUAAUGCAGCGCAGUUAUUGUAAUUAUGUGUUUUCAACCAUUCAGUUCGUCAUGUAACUUUUAUGAAGCAUUUCGGGGUAGAGAGCUGAAAUGCUAUAAAGGUGCCUGCAACUGGCCUAUAUUGUGAGAUAUCAGUAGGCGUACAUCAAAGAAUUAUUUUAGUGAUCAGAAAACAGACAUUUUGACAAAAUGCUAGCUGCGCGAGCUAACAACGUUAUGAUGUAUUAUAACAAUGUAAUAGUGAGUGCCGGCUCUCCUCUUUUUCCUGCUGAUGCCUCACGUUUUAUUGCCUGUUUCCUCUGAUUAGGAGCUUAUUGAAACAUGGUUAUAGAUUCUUCACGGCAUCCCGUCCCUCGGCAGCUUUUAGCUAGCAGAAUGGCUAGCAGCCAUUGGUCGACUAUCGUUUUUUACAUCAUGUUAGUUAUUUUUCUUGUCAAACUUAUUAAUGCUAUGUAAUGCGUUUUGGAUUUUUAAAUCAAGCUACAGUAGUAAUUGCAGUUUGAGGUUUUAAAAAUCAAAACAAAUUAACUUUCUGUGAGUUGAUUUUUUCCUUUGAGUGAAAUCGUUGGAAACCUUUUGCUGCCCAGAAGGUGGGAAGGCACUCGAUUUAUCUUGAACCGUUACGUCGCGCUCAAUGUGAUGUUUCUUUAGGAGUAACAGAUUAGACUCAAAGGCGUCCUCAAUGCUUCCCCUCAUAAUGGCGCCCGUCAUCAGCCUCUCUAAAACUCACUUCCUGUCUUUUGUUACAAAAACCUCGAAACAAAAAAGUGUCCAUAUGUCUGAAAUGACCAAAUAUGCUCAGUUCCAUCCAGCGUCCAGCGACUGUCCGUGUGGGAUAGAAAGGCCUCAGAGCUCAAAGCCUCUCCCUUAUCUGCUGGGGCGGGCGUAACAGUGUGGCCCUUUGUGGCCCCCCCGUGUAUUUAUGAAUGGCCGAGCCUUAGGGCGAAGCCUCAGAACAAUGCCGCUACACUGAAGGACUGGUUUUCCUACGGGGGGGUGGUGAUGAUGGUGAUGGUGAUGAUGAUGAUGAUGGAGGAGGAGGUGUUGGUGGCGGGUUGACUCCCCACCGUUGGGGCUUGGUACAGAGAGUGGCGAGAGGUCUGGCUGGCGAGGGGGCUUUGCGCGUGAGACUCAGAGGGAAGGCUGCUGGAGCUACUGGAGGUCGUAGGUCGCCCACGCUCACCUACACAGGCUAAUAUUGGCUCUGGAUUCUCCGGGGGAAGUUGGGGUGUGUUAAUCGAGAAGCUCUCGUACACAAUCCACUUCGACCCGCCAUCUGCACACCCCGGCUGCCGCAGCAAGAGGCGGAAUUAUCGGCUUCUACUUCUGCAUCUAGUUGUUCCACACUCAACAGUCCUCCUGGUAAAUACAUUUAUUGACAGAGCAUUUAAAGAAUCAUUUCUGUUGGAGAGAGUGAUGACGUGAAUAGAGUAUUUUCAUCAAGUGAGAAUACUCAUGAGUCAGAGGGACCACAUUGUUUAUUUUAUAAUAGGUAGUUUAAACGUGGCAUCAUGUUGGUUUUCCAUUUGAUUGGAACUCAAUAAGCAUUGAUAUGUUUUAGGGCUCAUUGGGUUCAAUAAUUCGUCCUUGAAUCCCACCGUUCGCUAUGUGAUCAAAGUCAUUGUACUGUAAUAAAGUACAUGUUGUUAGUGUUUGUGGUCUUCAUGUUCUUAAAUUAGCCAAUCAAGAUAGAAAUUAGACACAGAAGUAAAAAGAAACCAAAAAGAAACAAGGGCAAAAAAGCUGAACCCAGAACUAUUAUGUGCAUACAAGUGGUAAAGUGCAUAAACAAAUGAAUAUAAAAAGUCUAGAAGUAAAGAACGUCCUCUUUACUGGCCUGAACCAACUAUCUGUUGCUGGAAUCCAGGCAGUACAGAACUCCGCUGCCACUGAUACCCGGCAUGUUUCAGAAUAGAUUAACAUACAUUUUAAAUUUCUCCCCAAGCCAUUAAAAAACCUCUGCAUGCUGCACAUACUUUGAAAUCCGCUAGAGGAGAUCUUUUGUCGGGUCCAGAGGCCCGAGAGCAACUACAGGGCCGUGGAGCUCUGGAGUUCGGGUGGACAGUCUCUCUUAAAUAUUAUUUUCCAUUCGUGCUUAUGUACUACGCUGUGCCUUUAAGUUCCAAUAUCUUCUCUUCUAUCUCAUGUUUCUCCUCAUGUAAUAUGGAAAAAAUAUUCAUUGAUUGUCUGUUUGCUAAGCUGAUGAUUUAUGAAUGUGUUAUUUUGCUGCCUUUUGUGAAGCACUUACAAAUCUUAAAAAGUGCUCUAUAAAUAAAGUUCAUUAUUAUUAUUAUCAUAAUUUUCCCUAAAUGAUUUAUGUGCUUCUGCCGGGGAAAAUUUUAGAUAAAUACAGUGCAAAAAAAAAUGUCACCCCCUCGACACCCCCGUAGUCAGUCCUGGUGAUCCAUGACAGCUGGGUUGGCACAGUGUGUGUCAUUCAUCGGGCUGACGUGUGCCGG
ensembl:lncRNA